rnacentral:misc_RNA from 1 species
GGUUGUACGUCGCUUUGGAUAAAAGCGUCUGCGACC